rnacentral:sRNA from 18 species
AUUUACUCGUUUACCUGUUAUUAAUCUUUCCAAAUUAUAAACAGAGGUAUCCAGUCAUCUGGAUGUGAGUGGCUCCUGUCCACUCUGUUUGACGCCUCCCUGUUAAAGACUCAGAGCCGCAACCAAGCGGCUCUUUUUUU